GAUGAACGCUGGCGGCGUGCCUAAUACAUGCAAGUCGAGCGAACAGACGAGAAGCUUGCUCCUCUGACGUUAGCGGCGGACGGGUGAGUAACACGUGGAUAACCUACCUAUAAGACUGGGAUAACUUCGGGAAACCGGAGCUAAUACCGGAUAAUAUAUUGAACCGCAUGGUUCAAUAGUGAAAGACGGUUUUGCUGUCACUUAUAGAUGAAUCCGCGCCGCAUUAGCUAGUUGGUAAGGUAACGGCUUACCAAGGCAACGAUGCGUAGCCGACCUGAGAGGGUGAUCGGCCACACUGGAACUGAGACACGGUCCAGACUCCUACGGGAGGCAGCAGUAGGGAAUCUUCCGCAAUGGGCGAAAGCCUGACGGAGCAACGCCGCGUGAGUGAUGAAGGUCUUCGGAUCGUAAAACUCUGUUAUUAGGGAAGAACAAAUGUGUAAGUAACUAUGCACGUCUUGACGGUACCUAAUCAGAAAGCCACGGCUAACUACGUG
rnacentral:rRNA from 1 species